UUAAUGGAGAGUUUGAUCCUGGCUCAGGACGAACGCUGGCGGCGUGCCUAAUACAUGCAAGUCGAGCGGGGUUAAUUAGAAGCUUGCUUCUAAUUAACCUAGCGGCGGACGGGUGAGUAACACGUAGGCAACCUGCCCACAAGACAGGGAUAACUACCGGAAACGGUAGCUAAUACCCGAUACAUCCUUUUCCUGCAUGGGAGAAGGAGGAAAGGCGGAGC
rnacentral:rRNA from 2 species